UACGGGGGGAGCAAGCGUUGUUCGGAUUUACUGGGCGUAAAGGGCGCGUAGGCGGUCAGCACAAGUCAGUUGUGAAAUCUCCGGGCUUAACCCGGAAAGGUCAACCGAUACUGCGGGGCUAGAGUGCAGAAGGGGCAACUGGAAUUCUCGGUGUAGCGGUGAAAUGCGUAGAUAUCGAGAGGAACACCUGCGGCGAAGGCGGGUUGCUGGGCUGACACUGACGCUGAAGCGCGAAAGCUAGGGGAGCGAACGGG
rnacentral:rRNA from 1 species